GAUGAACGCUGGCGGCGUGCCUAAUACAUGCAAGUCGAGCGAACAGACUAGGAGCUUGCUCCUCUGACGUUAGCGGCGGACGGGUGAGUAACACGUGGAUAACCUACCUAUAAGACUUGGAUAACUUCGGGAAACCGGAGCUAAUACCGGAUAAUAUAUUGAACCGCAUGGUUCAAUAGUGAAAGACGGUUUUGCUGUCACUUAUAGAUGGAUCCGCGCCGCAUUAGCUAGUUGGUAAGGUAACGGCUUACCAAGGCAACGAUGCGUAGCCGACCUGAUAGGGUGAUGUGCCACAAUGGAACUGAGACACGGUCCAGACUCCUACGGGAUGCAGCAGAAGGGGAUAUGCAGCGAUGGGCGAAAGCCUGACGGAGCAACGCCGCGUGAGUGAUGAAGGUCUUCGGAUCGUAAAACUCUGUUAUUAGGGAAGAACAAAUGUGUAAGUAACUAUGCACGUCUUGACGGUACCUAAUCAGAAAGCCACGGCUAACUACGUG
rnacentral:rRNA from 1 species